rnacentral:rRNA from 1 species
UGGCUCAGGAUGAACGCUAGCGGCAGGCUUAAUACAUGCAAGUCGAACGGUUGUAGCAAUACAAUAGUGGCGAACGGGUGCGUAACGCGUAUGCAACUUGUCUCAUACAGGGGGAUAACAAGGGGAAACUCUUGCUAAUACCGCAUAACAUAUUGAGUGGCAUCACUUGAUAUUAAAAUCUGAGGAGGUAUGAGGUGGGCAUGCGUCUGAUUAGUUAGUUGGUAGGGUAACGGCUUACCAAGGCGAUGAUCAGUAGGGGAUCUGAGAGGAUGACCCCCCAACUGGUACUGAGAUACGGACCAGACUCCUACGGGAGCAGCAGUAGGGAAUAUUGGGCAAUGGAAGGAUUCUGACCCAGCCAUGCCGCGUGCAGGGAUGAAUGCGCUAAGCGUUGUAAACUGCUUUUGUCAGGGGGAAGAAAAGGGGGGAGUGCGCUCUAAUUGACGGUACUGAUGAAUAGCAUCGGGCUAAC